rnacentral:rRNA from 1 species
UGCCAGCCGCCGCGGUAAUACGGAGGGGGUUAGCGUUGUUCGGAAUUACUGGGCGUAAAGCGCACGUAGGCGGAUUAGAAAGUUAGAGGUGAAAUCCCAGGGCUCAACCCUGGAACUGCCUUUAAAACUCCUAGUCUAGAGUUCGAGAGAGGUGAGUGGAACUCCAAGUGUAGAGGUGAAAUUCGUAGAUAUUUGGAGGAACACCAGUGGCGAAGGCGGCUCACUGGCUCGACACUGACGCUCAUGCACGAAAGCGUGGGGAGCAAACAGGAUUAGAUA